UACGAGGGGUCCUAGCGUUGUUCGGAAUCAUUGGGCGUAAAGCGUCUGUAGGCGGCUUUAUAAGUCAGGUGUGAAAGCCCCGGGCUCAACCCGGGAAGUGCAUUUGAUACUGUUUAGCUUGAAUGUUGGAGAGGAUAGUAGAAUUCCAGGUGUAGUGGUGAAAUACGUAGAUAUCUGGAGGAAUACCGGUGGCGAAGGCGGCUAUCUGGCCAAACAUUGACGCUGAGAGACGAAAGUGCGGGGAUCAAACAGG
rnacentral:rRNA from 1 species